rnacentral:rRNA from 1 species
AUUGAACGCUGGCGGCAUGCCUUACACAUGCAAGUCGAACGGUAACGGGCCUUCGGGUGCCGACGAGUGGCGAACGGGUGAGUAAUGCAUCGGAACGUACCUUUCAGUGGGGGAUAACGUAGCGAAAGUUACGCUAAUACCGCAUAUUCUGUGAGCAGGAAAGCAGGGGAUCGCAAGACCUUGCGCUGAUUGAGCGGCCGAUGUCAGAUUAGCUAGUUGGUGAGGUAAAGGCUCACCAAGGCGACGAUCUGUAGCGGGUCUGAGAGGAUGAUCCGCCACACUGGAACUGAGACACGGUCCAGACUCCUACGGGAGGCAGCAGUGGGGAAUUUUGGACAAUGGGGGCAACCCUGAUCCAGCCAUGCCGCGUGAGUGAAGAAGGCCUUCGGGUUGUAAAGGUACUCUUUCGGUCCGGGACGGAAAGUACGCAUGGGUUAAGUAACCCUCGUGU